AUGAUCAUACAAAUUUUUUAUGCCGGUUUGAACUUUGCUUCUAGAAAUCUCUUAGAUUCGGCCGCGGGAGGCACGUUUAUGGAAAUCACGUUUGGAGAUGCUACAAAACUUCUUGAUAAUAUUAUGGCUAAUUAUUCUCAAUGGCACACCGAAAGAUCUUCUAGUAAAAAAGUGCAUGCUAUAGAAGAAAUCAAUGUUUUGAGUGGAAAGAUGGAUGAACUUAUGAAAUUGUUUGCUACUAAAAAUACUCCUCUUGAUCCCAAUGAUAUGCCUUUGUCUUCUUUGAUUGAGAAUAAUAAUGAAUCUAUGGAUGUGUAUUUUGUUGGUAGGAAUAGUUUUGGAAAAAUGCUUAUAGAGGAAACUUUAAUGCUAGACCGUUCCCUAGUAAUUCCUCUAAUAAUUAUGGAAAUUCUUACAAUAAUUCUUAUGGUAAUUUUAAUAAGAUUCCCUCUGACUUUGAGAAUAGUGUGA
rnacentral:rRNA from 1 species